rnacentral:rRNA from 1 species
ACGUAGGGGGCAAGCGUUAUCCGAAUUUACUGGGUGUAAAGGGAGCGUAGACGGCAGUGCAAGUCUGAAGUGAAAGCCCGGGGCUCAACCCCGGGACUGCUUUGGAAACUGUGCAGCUAGAGUGUCGGAGAGGCAAGCGGAAUUCCUAGUGUAGCGGUGAAAUGCGUAGAUAUUAGGAGGAACACCAGUGGCGAAGGCGGCUUGCUGGACGAUGACUGACGUUGAGGCUCGAAAGCGUGGGGAGCAAACAG